GUGGAAAUGAAGGCGGAACAUAUCUGAGAAUGACUGCAUUGUCAUAGCAGUAAUUUACAGUACUAAAUUGUAUUCUUGUGUGCGAAGCUUGCUCUCAGACUCGGUAUACACUUGAGUUGAAAUAAAUGCAUUAAUUUCGGAUCAAAAAUAGGAUUUGUAAAGUCUGGUUUCCAUAUUAUAUUUACUAAUGGCUAAUUAUGUAUGUAAACUUAUUGAAUUUAUUUUUAAUUACAGAUUACAAAAAGCCAAAAAAGGAAGAUAUUUAGAAUAAGCUUUAUUUUGGCCUGCCUUCCUGGCUUAGACCCUUCGUUCACACAAGGUAUGGUAGUUUGCAUUAGGCUAAAUCCCUGGUCUAUGUAUGAAUUUUCAUUCGCUGGUCAAACGAGAAACAGAGUUGCAUGACAGUUGAUAUAGUUACCGCAAAAACUCUGGUCGACUCUCAUCCAACUACCUCAAAUCAGUUGUUAAGUUGAUAUGAGUGCCAGUUGGCGUUGAAAUGUGAGCGAUUGGGUUGCAACUCUCAUCAAAUUUCGUCGUCUUUCAAACGAAGACACCAAUAACAUUAACACUGAUUCAUGAGACCGCGGGAUGAAAAUCGAAAUUUUUAGUAUAUUCACAUGAGACCGAUAUGACUAUCACAAAUCUUUCAAUUUAAUUCGAUCGCCCGCCAUUUUCCUUUUUACAGUGCUUUUGUGUGUAUGCCAGUGCACAGCCGAGACCAGUCUGAAAUGUAUUUGUGUUUAUACAUACAUCCACUGAUCUAAUAGUAGAUCAGUGCAUACAUCCCGCUCCAAAUUCAUAUCGGUCUGAAGAUUCGGUUCGGUCCAAGUGAACUCAAGACUUCAAGAACGGUCUGAGCAAUUUUUCGCCCAGGUCUUAUGAAAACAUCUAUUAUAAACACAGUAAUAUCGUCUGGAGUUACUAGUUAAGGGCCUUAGCUCGAAACGUCGAAAUUCUCCUUAUAUUUUCAGGUAGUUGCAUCUACCAACGAAAGCUUGUUAAUAUUAUUGACACUACCUACACUGGCACAGACACUUCAAGAUUAUAAAUAAUACUCUGACCGAAAUGAAAUCGUCCCGGUUUGACUUGCCCUCGGUCUCAUGUAACAAACUUAACAAUUUAUAAUGGUAAUUGAAGUGAGUGGAGUGCAAUUUGGACUGAAAUCAAACGCGUGAUUACAAAAUCGCACGACCGCGAAGCGGGAGUGCGAUUUGUAAUCACAAGUUUGAUUUCAGUCCAAAAUUGCACGACACGAAGUUCAAUUUCCACUUUAUUAUGUUCAUUUUGAAAUCUUAAACAUUUUUGUAAACCGGAAACGUUUUUGUUUGCAAAAGACACACCUCCGGGAUUUAUAAAGAAUAAGAGACAACACAAGUAAGUUUAAACAUAUUGUAGGUUUUACGAGUGAUUUUGAAAGAGUUUUGGUGCAGUUUUCUGCGUUUAAAAUUGGAAAUACGAUAGGCGAAUUUACCUUUGUUGACGCUCUAAAUUUGCUUUUGUUGGCGUCUUGACCAUAUUUGAUAGAUUAUGUUCUUAAUUUGCCUGUUAAUAUUUGUGAAAUUUGAAAAUUCUUUGCAAUUCUUUGAUAGUUUACUGUAGCUAUCCAUAUGUGUUUGCUUUUAUGUGCAAAAAAUUGCUUAAAUCAUUCAUGACAUUUGUAAAUUUUUUGUUUUUGCUCAUUUGCCGUAUCACAUUUUUCUUAAAAUUGAUUGGCUGUUUGAAUCCUAUGAUUAAAUAUGAUUGAUUGGCUGAAGUCAGCACUCUAAUGUGAUUGGUUGAAAAGAAGGUGCGAUUACAGCACGAAUCGCAGUCCUGUGAACCAAUCAGAUUGCAGGAAACACCAUUGAUUUCAAAAUGAAUAUAAUAAAUAUAGUAAUAUAAAUUAUUCCAAUUUAAUCAGUAGUGUACAUGCUAUGCUCUAAUGUUUGCAGGUGAUGAAUGGCCAAGAGGUAGUUAUGGUUUCCCUAAACCUAAAUCAGGAUGUCCAGGUGGUAGGAACAAUGUGUGGUUUGAGGGCUGGAGGUAUCAGGAUUUGGAUGACAGUGAUAAGAGUACCAGUGAGCGGUCAAGAAUAUCUAGUGGGUCACAUAUGGAUGUCAAAUUAGCUGGAAGUAAAAAGAAUGUAAACAGGACAUUCUGUAUGAAACAUAAUGCUGCAACACAAAAAAGGUUUUGGCCUAAAGGUAAGGUUCUCAAUAUUCAUAUACUGACGAUACCUAUGAUACAGCCAUCCAUAUGUUACAGUAUGAACUUCAUGGAUUCUGCAAGAGGCAUUUUGAUGCAAAUUGGGUUACUGAAUGGCAUGGAAGAGAACAGAACAAUGGGAUUUUCAAAACAAUGAAAACACAGUUUCCGACCACCAUGGGCGGUGAUUUUAUCAAAUCACAAUUCUUAUGCUGAGUGUCCUUUACAGAAUACUAAAGCCUCAAAAUAUUCACUGCAGUCAUUCCUGUGAAAAAAGGGAACCUCCAGCCCUCAUGUCAGCAGAAUAAUGCAUCAUGUCAUUUCUCAUGCCUUCAGAAUAAUUUUAUAAUAAUAUCUUGAUUCCUGAUGCCAUCAAAAUAAUUUUAUAAUAUCUACAUUCCUCAUGCCAUCAGAAUGAUUUUUUUCAAAUCAAAAUGAUUUCUUCAUCUUGUAUGCGUUUUUUUGAACGAUUUCCCCUCGAAAAUGUAUUUUUGUUUUGACAGGUUCAUAUUGUAUUUACAAGAGUGGAACGUGUCCGAAAGAUAUGGAAUCAGGCUGGGUGUUUUGGGAUGAUGAAGAUGGUAACAACUAUAAUAAUCACAGAGGAUUUCUACCAGAUGGUGUAUAUGAUAAAGAAACCAGGAUAUACUAUUGUUGUCAAACUGAUGGUAACUGGUAUGAUUCAAUUGAACUGCCAGUCAGUCAACCAUUUUAUUUACUAACAUCUAGCUCUACUGACACUCCCAAAUGUCAGAUGGUGAAGUGGGCAUUUAGUUACUUGGAGUAUAUUGUGUUUGAUACAGAAGACAAGAAUAAUAGAGAUACCCAGGGUGGGGAACAUUUGUUUUCAGAUGGAGAUAAGAAAUACUAUUGUUACUAUGAAGGUACGUUAAUAUAACUCAGUUCGUAGUACCAACCGAACAUUCAAAUAACGCUUUCUACAAUCAGGAAAAAAAUGGCAUUUGAAAAAAUGUAUACCUCAUGUACGGUAGCUAAGGAUGGAAGAUUUAAACAUCAGUUCAAGGUAUCCAGCUGUUUAAUAAUCUUUUAUGACAUAUGCUUAAACACUG